UACAGAGGUCCCAAGCGUUGUUCGGAUUUACUGGGCGUAAAGGGUGCGUAGGUGGUUGGGUAAGUUUGAUGUGAAAUCUCCGGGCUUAACCCGGAAAUGGCAUUGAAUACUAUUCGGCUAGAGGUUUGGAGGGGGGACUGGAAUUCUUGGUGUAGCAGUGAAAUGCGUAGAUAUCAAGAGGAACACCGAUGGCGAAGGCAAUCCCCUUGGCCUGUACUGACGCUCAUGCACGAAAGCGUGGGGAGCAAACAGG
rnacentral:rRNA from 1 species